GCUGGCGUGGCGGAACUGGUAUACGCGGAGGGGUGGCAUCCCUCUGGGUCCGGGCUUGCUCCGGCCUUGCGGGUUCGAAUCCCGUCGCCAGCA
rnacentral:tRNA from 1 species